rnacentral:snoRNA from 1 species
AACUUUGUCCAAAAGUGAUCCUCCGCAUUAGACAGUGCAAUUUCCAAGAUAUUAAACCCACUUGGCCAUUGCGAUACGCGAGUAGGAAAGAGUAAUUGGGAUUUUUAUAAGAACUCGAGCGGAAUGCUGUUGUUUCAACAGAAAAUGAUUCUCGAGUGUCAGAAAGAUCACACAACU